rnacentral:misc_RNA from 1 species
UCCCAGUUAACCUGGGCAGUCUCACUAGAGUCCCCACCUUGCGUGUUGGCAACUAAUGAUAAGGGUUGCGCUCGUUGCGGGACUUAACCCAACACCUCACGGCACGAGCUGACGACAGCCAUGCAGCACCUAUACAGCGGUCCUUUCGGACGGUAAUAUCUCUACUACCUUCCACUGCACUUCUAACCUGGGUAAGGUUCUUCGCGUUGCAUCGAAUUAAACCACAUGCUCCACUGCUUGUGCGGGCCCCCGUCAAUUCUUUUGAGUUUCACCCUUGCGAGCGUACUCCUCAGGCGGUAUACUUAACGCGUUAGCUCCGAUACAGCCAGGGUUGAGCCCAGCUACACCAAGUAUACAUCGUUUACGGCAAGGACUAC